rnacentral:rRNA from 1 species
GACGAACGCUGGCGGCGUGCUUAACACAUGCAAGUCGAACGGAAAGGCCCGGUUUUUUUGGGUGGGUGGGGUGGCGAAGGGAGGGGUAAAACGAGAGUAACUUGCCCUGCCCUUUGGGUCAACUUAAGGAAAUGGGGGUGAAUCCCGGACAGGAGCUUCUGCGGCUGGGGGGGGGUGGGAAUGUUUCGGGGGUUGGGGAUGGACUGGCGGCUCUUGAGCUUGUUGGUGGGGUAGUGGCUUACAAAGGCUUUGACGGGUAGCCGGCCUGAGAGGGUGACCGGCCACAUUGGGACUGAGAUACGGCCCAGACUCCUACGGGAGGCAGCAGUGGGGAAUAUUGCACAAUGGGCGGAAGCCGUAUGCAGCAACGCCGCGUGCGGGAUGACGGCCUUCGGGUUGUAAACCGCUUUCGCCUGUGACGAAGCGUGAGUGACGGUAAUGGGUAAAGAAGCACCGGCUAACUACGUG